GAGUUUGAUCCUGGCUCAGGACGAACGCUGGCGGUGCGCCUUAUGCAUGCAAGUCGAGCGAAGCUUUUCAGUAGUUUACUACAGAAAAUGACUGAGCGGCGAACGGGUGAGUAACGCGUGAGCAACCUACCUUAGUUACUGGGAUAGCCCGAGGAAACUCGGAUUAAUACCGGAUAUUCUUAUUUAAUCACAUGAUUUUUUAAGGAAAGGUCAGCCGAACUAAGAUGGGCUCGCGUUCUAUCAGCUAGUUGGUAGGGUAAUGGCCUACCAAGGCUACGACGGAUAGCUGGUCUGAGAGGACGAUCAGCCACACUGGGACUGAGACACGGCCCAGACUCCUACGGGAGGCUGCAGCAGGGAAUAUUGCGCAAUGAGCGAAAGCUUGACGCAGCGACACCGCGUGUGGGAUGACGGAUCUAGGUUUGUAAACCACUUUCAGGAGGGAAGAAAAUGACGGUACCUCCACAAGAAGCCCCGGCCAACUACGUGCCAGCAGCCGCGGUAAUACGUAGGGGGCGAGCGUUGUCCGGAUUUAUUGGGCGUAAAGAGCUCGUAGGCGGUUCAACAAGUCGGUCGUGAAAGUUCAGGGCUCAACCCUGAAAUGUCGAUCGAUACUGUUGUGACUAGGAUACGGUAGAGGUGAGUGGAAUUCCGAGUGUAGCGGUGAAAUGCGUAGAUAUUCGGAGGAACACCAAUUGCGAAGGCAGCUCACUGGGCCGCUAUCGACGCUGAGGAGCGAAAGCUAGGGGAGCAAACAGGAUUAGAUACCCUGGUAGUCCUAGCUG
rnacentral:rRNA from 1 species